UUGUUCAUUUCCCUUAUAGCAUGCAUUUUCCUAUUGUUCUUCGAAGAUAAAAAAGAAAAUAUACGAAUAUAAAGAUACUGUAUUUAGAUUACUCAUUUCACUUGAAGAUAUGAAUUGUUCGAAAAGAAAUUUAGUCUCCACAAAACGUACUUAAUAAAAUGAAUUAAUAAUCCAGAUAUACAAUGUGUCUAAUCAGAAACUCUGGCCUAUAAAUAGUUUACCAGAACGUCUUCAUAAAUUUAUGCAAUAAAAUAUAGCAUAAACAGACACAAAUGUUUUACUGAAUUAUUCUGAUGUAACUAAUAAAAAGAAAAUAUCUGCAUAUGAAAACGGGAUUACGCAUCCUUUCCAGCGGACCGGAAAGGAUGCUUAUCGACCUCAUCCGCCUCCCAUCAUCGGUGGGCUCCCGGGAGCGUCUGAAAAAUAAAGAAAAACAUAGACGAUCAUUAUUUUAUUUAAGUACAGAAAAACUAAAAGAUAUUUCUUUAAAAUCAAAUUGCUUAAAAGUUGACUGUAACCUCUUUGCUGAAGAUUGCAUGCAUAACCAGACAGCAUGAAAAAUUUAAUGCUCUUUCUAUGAAAAAAUCCUUUUCCAGAAAUUCUCAAACUUAAGCAUAUAGAAUCAGUUUUUUUUUUUGCAUUAAAUCUUAUUUGAUCCUCUAUUAAUGUAUGAGUAAAAAUGGAAUUUGUUAAUUUUCUAUGAAUUUUUAAAUUUGUACAAAAUUAAUUAACUCAAUUAGUACAUAUGAUUUUCAUCCAUUUUAUUUUGUAUUAGUCUUUGUAUUCUAUUUGUAUUUCAUAUUA